CCGGCAGCGCCCAGUGCGGUGCCCAGGCCGAGCUCCACGCGGUUCCCCGCAGUGUAGAGCACAGGCAGAUCCGCCGUGCCGCGCGCGGCCGUCAGGGAGCGCUGAGGGGCGGCCGCGGCCCGAGACACGCGGGAGGAACUUGGAAGAGAAACCUGCAAUGAAAGCCUGGGAGCUGACAGAAGCUGGUUUGCAACAGCUGUGGACAACUUCUUCCUCCAGCAGCAACAGUGAGAACAAGGAGUGUUUUCUACAUCAGGAAGCUCCACGGCCGUAAUAAUAAUGGUUCAUCUGGCAAAUCCUCCAGUGACAGCGACUAAUAAAUGUUUUGUGAAGAAGCUAUGGAAGUUCAGACUGUACUGUUACACGUGUGAAAUGGCUGAAGUUAAUCUAGAUGAGGAGGAGACUGUGUUACUGUGUGAGGAAGCAGAGGGAAAAAUGCUGCAACAGCUAUCCCCUGGUCUGCAUAGCUGUGAAACCAAGAAGAGUCCAGGGUAGGACUCCUGCGCUCCCAUCAGACUGUAGGUACUACCAGAAGUGCUGGCUGCACUUAGCCAGAAAAUAAAGACCAUUUGCUUUCUGCCAGAAACC
rnacentral:lncRNA from 1 species